GGGGGAGCAAGCGUUGUUCGGAUUUACUGGGCGUAAAGGGCGCGUAGGCGGCCACCGCAAGUCGACUGUGAAAUCUCCGGGCUUAACCCGGAAAGGUCAGCCGAUACUGCGGGGCUAGAGUGCAGAAGGGGCAACUGGAAUUCUCGGUGUAGCGGUGAAAUGCGUAGAUAUCGAGAGGAACACCUGCGGCGAAGGCGGGUUGCUGGGCUGACACUGACGCUGAGGCGCGAAAGCUAGGGGAGCGAACGGGAUUAGAUACCCCGGUAGUCCUAGCCUUAAACGAUGAAUGCUUGGUGUCUGGGGUUUUAUAGUCCCCGGGUGCCGUCGCUAACGCUUUAAGCAUUCCGCCUGGGGAGUACGGUCGCAAGACUG
rnacentral:rRNA from 1 species